CUUCUUUUCUCGAAAUAGGCCUCUUUCUCUUCUGGUGGAUAAUCUAUCUCCUCAGACCAUCUUGAAGUAAACUUUUUUCUCGGGAUAGUAUCAAUCCCGCAUUUUGAUUGAGCUUUCUCUUGCAUCUGAUCCAGUUUACUCUUAAGUUCCUCAACUGUCUGAGCUAGCUUCUCUAUGGUUUCUUCUUGCUCAUCAGAUUUCUUUUUGAGAUCUCGCAAGUCAGGUGUAGAGGUUGUGCUUGGUCUGGUGAUUGAAUCCGAAGGUUGAGGCUGAGCCCUGAUCUUUUCUUCUACAGCUGUCCUUUGCGAAGUUUCGUUGAUGUCAAACUGCAGCUUGAUGUGCUUCCCAAGGUUGAGACUUAUUCUCU
rnacentral:sRNA from 1 species